rnacentral:tRNA from 1 species
ACUUAAGUAGUUUAUUUAAAAUUUAGAGUUGUGGUUUCUAAGAAGUUAAUUUACCUUAAGUU